rnacentral:rRNA from 1 species
ACGACCAUACCUACCAGAAAAUACGGGAUCCCGUCCGCUCUCCCAUAGUCAAGCUGGUAAGGGGCGGAUUAGUAGUUGGGUCGGUGACGACCA